AAUUGGAAUCAGAAUGUUCUUCUGUGAUUACUUUAAGUUACGCUUUUUAAUAGUUUUUAUAUAAGUUUUCAUCAAUAUUAUGUACGUAUUCUAUGCAGAAUAACUUUCUCUACUGUAUAUAGCCUCAUUAUCUCUGUGUCGUAUUGUGAAAUAAAUAUAUUUAAAACGAAAGGAGAGUUUUGCAUUGAGUCAUAACAUACUCUGUAUAGCAAUUACUAUUGGUUCGAAAUACUCCCGACAUAACAAAUUAUGAAGGGAACCAACCGUUAUUACACCAAAGGAAUUACGAGAACUGCGAAGAAUUCCAUUGCAGCUCUUUUAAAAAUUUGGGUUAUAAUAGUAUAUCAAUUCAGAGCAUAGAAGAUAUUCAAUAUCAUCAGUUAUUAAAUAGACAUCCGGCACUUGAGAAAGCAUAUAGAUGAAUGGUAUAAAGGCUGUUCUCUAAGAAAAUUAAAAGUUUGUGAAGAAUAUUUAAAAAAAAUAGACAAAUUAUUCAAAAUAUUUUAAUUUAAUUGUAUUUGCAUGUGUAUUUUUAUAUUUGUAUUACCACAUGUAUUGUUCAUAUAAUAAAAUUUUUUUAACUAUUA